rnacentral:rRNA from 1 species
UACGGAGGAUCCAAGCGUUAUCCGGAAUCAUUGGGUUUAAAGGGUCCGUAGGCGGUUUUGUAAGGCAGUGGUGAAAGCCCAUCGCUCAACGGUGGAACGGCCAUUGAUACUGCAAGACUUGAAUUAUUGGGAAGUAACUAGAAUAUGUAGUGUAGCGGUGAAAUGCUUAGAGAUUACAUGGAAUACCAAUUGCGAAGGCAGGUUACUGCCAAUAUAUUGACGCUGAUGGACGAAAGCGCGGGGAGCGAACAGG